rnacentral:rRNA from 1 species
UACAGAGGGUGCAAGCGUUAAUCGGAAUUACUGGGCGUAAAGGGCGCGUAGGCGGUCUUUCAAGUGAGAUGUGAAAUCCCCGGGCUUAACCUGGGAACUGCAUCUUAAACUGGGAGGCUUGAGUACUGUAGAGGACAGUGGAAUUUCCGGUGUAGCGGUGAAAUGCGUAGAUAUCGGAAGGAACACCUGUGGCGAAAGCGGCUCACUGGACCAUUACUGACGCUGAUGCACGAAAGCUAGGGGAGCAAACAGG